rnacentral:rRNA from 1 species
UACGGGGGGGGGCAAGCGUUGUUCGGAAUUACUGGGCGUAAAGAGCUCGUAGGCGGUUUGGUAAGUUGGAUGUGAAAUCUCCAGGCUCAACUUGGAGGGGUCAUUCGAUACUGCCAUGACUAGAGUUCGGUAGGGGAGUGUGGAAUUCCUGGUGGAGCGGUGAAAUGCGCAGAUAUCAGGAGGAACACCGGUGGCGAAGGCGGGUCUCUGGGCCGUAACUGACGCUGAGGAGCGAAAGCAUGGGGAGCGAACAGG